AGGGGAUCUUUGGUGCAAUGGCUGAUUCUUGGUCUGGCAAGAAAUGAACAAAAUGAGCCUGGACAUCUUGUCAUACCGGAAGUGAGGAAGCUAUCAAAAAAUACUACAGACAUAGCAAAAGGACUUAGAAGCAAACCUGAAGAGGCCAAAGAAGUAUUCCCCUUUGGAGAUCAAGACCUCUCAUCCUGAAGAGUUCAGAAUUGUGGAGAUGGAGUAGGUCACUGGGAGUGAUGAUAGCUGACUAAAUGAUGGAGCUGGAUGGAGCUGAAUGGAGCUGAAGAACACAAGCAGAAUUGAUCCCAGGCAUUCCGAAGCCUGCCCUGGAGACUAACAAAACAAAACGAAACAAAAUAAGUGAAGGGGAAGGAGUGGAGGCUGGUGGAAGAAGUGGCAACAUUUAGACCUUAAUACUCAUGUGACCUCACUGCCUGGACUUGUGAAGCCUGAGGGUAUUUUAAUUUUAUAAGUAGUACGUAAUUUAAUAAGAAACAUACAGCAGGAUACACCCUUUGUACUACAACUACUGGAUUGCUUUGGCACAGCAAAAAUGCUCUGACACUUUACUUCAGAUUUAAUUCAAUUAAGAAACUGAGUUUCACACAGAAAGAAGGAGAGUUCCUAGCUGCUGGCGAAUCUAUUUAGUAGGUGAGUAAAGGAGAAAGGAUGAGCCUGCCUUGGGCACUGGAGCAAACAGGUACAGAAGAUGUGCAAACAGAUCCAGCAAAAACAUUGGAAAACUUGGAACCAUCUCAGGUUGAGCUGCUUUUCUCCUAACUGAAGAGAGGGUACGUCUGAGAGUCAGGCAAGGGAGAGCCACAGCUGUGGACAGGGGGCAACGAGGAACUAGAGUCUGAGUCUUCGGUGAGGUGGCCUCAGAAGAGAUAAGAAGAAUCAGGUCCAGAAAUGAGAGUUCUGCCUCGCAGGACAAGCGAAACAUAUCUUGAGCUUUCUGUCUUUGUUUUCUUUGAUGUUUUUCUCUGAAACAAUCCUUCAGACAAGAAGAGUAUUAAAUCACAAAUCAGAGGACUUGGAUCUAGUCCCAGUUCUGUCAAUAACAACACUAGCUGAUACAGCAGAAGAUAAUUUGACCCCAAGCAAGUUCAUAGGAUGCAAGUUGGCCAACCCAACAAGUUGGUUAAAAUAUCUAUUUGUUCCAGAAAUCAUAUAUCUAAUCACUGGUUUUUCAAGAAUUGAUCAUUCUGGUGCCUCACAGUAUUGUUUUGCAAUAUUUUAAAUCUUUAGAUGCUUUUGCAUUUUUCAGCAUUCAGAGGUUUAUUUUCCAGUAAAUAAAUCAUAAGCCCUACAUUAUUCAAUUCAUCCUUGUCUAGAAAAUAUCAUUGAGGCAUAAGCUUAAGGCAUUGGUUAACAA
rnacentral:lncRNA from 1 species